rnacentral:lncRNA from 1 species
CUCAGUAUGAUUCUUAUUGUAAGAAAUUGCUAAACCCGGAGACAGACACUAGACAGGGUUUUCAAAUUUCGAAUAUAUGGAAAGUACAGAGAGUGUGAACGUGGCAGGUUAAAAAUACUAGGUGAAAAACACACACAGAGACAGUGGAAUCCCAAAAAGCAAAUCAAAUCUAACAAAAAAGAUUAGAUUUCACAGACGAAUUCACCACCGACGGUAUUUCAAAAUGCCACAGUCUCCCUUCACCUUUCACCAGAUUUUUCCUACACAAAAACUCCUCCG